UACGUAGGGACCGAGCGUUGUCCGGAAUCAUUGGGCGUAAAGAGCGUGUAGGCGGCCAGAUAAGUCCGCUGUGAAAUCUCGAGGCUCAACUUCGAGCUGUCGGUGGAAACUAUCUGGCUAGAGUCCGGAAGAGGAGAAUGGAAUUCCUGGUGUAGCGGUGAAAUGCGCAGAUAUCAGGAAGAACACCCGUGGCGAAGGCGGUUCUCUGGGCAACAACUGACGCUGAGGAGCGAAAGCGUGGGGAGCGAACAGG
rnacentral:rRNA from 1 species